rnacentral:lncRNA from 1 species
AAAAGAAAAAGGACUGAGGGAUUGUGACACUAAAGGAUGCCCGAUAUUUGUUGUAAAUUAUCUAGAGAAGCAGAGUUUCAUUACCUUUUUUGCAACUGUUGUUGUGUCUUUCUUCCCUUUGAAAAGUUUGUCCAGUAAUAAGUGAAGAAAAUGCCCAAAUGGCCCGAGAUAGGCAAAGCCAAAAAGCUGGACAUAGGAAUGUUAGCUGUCAAUGAAAAUCCCAGAUAGCAACUUGUAUGUGGUUAGCAAAGGAAUAGAUAUAAAGAACACACGAUUCUGAUAAUAAGUGCCACAUCAGAAUUAAUUUUGAGAUGAAGCUCAAAAGUCCUAGCAUAUGCUUAGUUUACAUCUAUUCCAAAAAAGAAAGACAGAACAUCACACACGCAGUUAUGUUAGCAGCCAAAGACGAUCACAGAUAGCAACUUAAAAUUGUGGUAAGCAAAGGAAUAUAUACAAAGCAUACACGAUUCUGAUAAUAAGCGCCAUCUCAGAGCACUGCAACUAGACUAAGCCUCAGAGCUUAAAAGUCUUAAUAUAUGCUUACUUGCUAUUUGUUUGUUCUGUUUCCAUUUUCUCCAAACAAGACAGACACAACUUCACAGCAGCUAAAAGAUAUCAAAGCGUUUUCAAGCAUCACUUACAUAUCAUCGUCAGUUUUCUCAAACUUUCACUUAU